CCUACGGGAGUCAGCAGUGAGGAAUAUUGGUCAAUGGGCGUAAGCCUGAACCAGCCAAGUCGCGUGAGGGAUGAAGGUUCUAUGGAUCGUAAACCUCUUUUAUAAGGGAAUAAAGUGUGGGACGUGUCCUGUUUUGUAUGUACCUUAUGAAUAAGGAUCGGCUAACUCCGUGCCAGCAGCCGCGGUAAUACGGAGGAUCCGAGCGUUAUCCGGAUUUAUUGGGUUUAAAGGGUGCGUAGGCGGCAUGUUAAGUCAGCGGUGAAAGUCUGUGGCUCAACCAUAGAAUUGCCGUUGAAACUGGGAGGCUUGAGUAUGUUUGAGGCAGGCGGAAGGCGUGGUGUAGCGGUGAAAUGCUUAGAUAUCACGCAGAACCCCGAUUGCGAAGGCAGCCUGCCAAGCCAUGACUGACGCUGAUGCACGAAAGCGUGGGGAUCAAACAGGAUUAGAUACCCUAGUAGUC
rnacentral:rRNA from 1 species